CCGUCCGGCCUGUGGGACACCUUGUCCACCCCGGCCACGGCGCGGUUACGCUGAGCCCGUGCACCCUCCUCCGAAGGUGCAAAGCCGACAGCCGUCGCAUCCCAGGGAGCUCAUCCAUG
rnacentral:sRNA from 24 species